GGAGGCAGAGGAGGGGUCGCCGGAGCUGCCAUGUCCGCCAUCUUGGAGCGUCGGUGAUGGUGGCGAGCGGAGGUUUUCCCGCCUGAGCGGAGGCACCCGGGGCCUGUGGCGGGGGACGCGCUGCCGAGGAAGAAAUCUGCUUCAUCUAAUUCAAUGCUAAUUCAGUCCUGCUAAUCUGCUAGUACUGUAGAUUGAAAGAUUUUUUUGCUGUUGCCAGGAUACCCUGUAAUGGGCAAGAAGCCUGAGAGAAUACAAAACGUUCUGAUUUUUUAACUUUUAAAAACUUUUGUGUUUUAACAGGACCUGGGCUCCUGUUGAGAAGUGAUGGAAUAAUCUGUGGCCGGCACCUGACAUAUUGAGAGAGCAGCCCCUAAAGGAGCUUGCCUGGGAGACAGUUUGUGAAAUAACACAGUAACAUGUUUGCAGUAACCAGCAUGUUUUGGAAAUUUGAUCUCCAUUCGUCAUCACACAUAGAUACACUUCUAGAAAGAGAAGAUGUAACACUGAAGGAGUUGAUGGAUGAAGAGGAUGUUCUACAGGAGUGCAAGGCUCAGAAUCGCAAACUUAUAGAGUUUCUGCUGAAGUCAGAAUGUUUGGAAGACUUAGUUUCAUUUAUUAUUGAAGAGCCACCUCAAGACAUGGAUGAAAAAAUUCGAUAUAAAUACCCAAACAUAUCAUGUGAGCUGCUUACAUCAGAUGUCUCACAGAUCAAUGAUAGGUUGGGAGAAGAAGAAUCCUUACUCCUGAAACUGUACAGCUUCCUCUUAAAUGAAUCUCCUCUAAACCCUCUACUGGCCAGUUUCUUCAGCAAGGUGUUAAGUAUUCUUAUCAGCAGAAAGCCAGAACAGAUUGUAGAUUUUUUAAAGAGGAAGCAUGAUUUUGUAGACCUCAUUAUUAAGCACAUAGGGACCUCUGCUAUCAUGGACUUGUUGCUCAGGCUACUGACUUGCAUAGAACCUCCACAGCCCCGGCAAGAAGUGCUGAAUUGGCUGAAUGAGGAGAAAAUUAUCCAGCGGCUUGUGGAAAUCGUACACCCAUCUCAAGAUGAGGAUAGGCAUUCAAAUGCAUCACAGUCACUCUGUGAAAUUAUUCGUCUAAGCAGAGACCAGAUGCUACAAGUACAGAACAGUUCAGAACCAGACCCACUGCUUGCAAGUUUAGAGAAACAAGAAAUCAUAGAGCAGCUUCUGUCUAAUAUUUUUCAUAAAGAAAAAAAUGAAUCUGCAAUUGUCAGUGCAAUCCAAAUCCUGUUGACCUUACUUGAGACAAGACGACAGACAUUUGAAGGUCAUAUAGAGAUCUGUCCUCCAGGCAUGAGCAAUUCCACAUAUUCUGUCAACAAAAGUGUUUUAGAAGCCAUAAAAGCACGACUUUCAUCCUUCCAUGAACUCCUACUUGAGCCUCCAAAAAAAAGCGUCAUGAAGACAACCUGGGGUGUACUGGAUCCACCUGUAGGAAACACACGUUUAAAUGUGAUUAGAUUAAUAUCUAGCCUUCUACAAACAAAUACAAGCAGUGUAAAUCAGGAGCUUAUAGAACUUAACAGCAUAGGAGUCAUACUGGACAUGUUUUUUAAAUAUACGUGGAAUAACUUUUUGCAUACUCAAGUAGAAAUCUGUAUUGCAUUGAUUCUUGCAAGUCCUCUUGAAAACACGGAAAAUGGCACAAUUACAGAUCAGGAUUCCAGUGGGGACAAUCUUUUACUGAAACAUCUCUUCCUUAAGUGCCAAUUAAUAGAAAGAAUACUUGAAGCAUGGGAGAUGAAUGAGAAGAAACAGGCUGAAGGAGGAAGAAGGCACGGCUACAUGGGUCACCUGACAAGGAUAGCAAACUGCAUUGUGCACAGUACAGAUAAGGGGCCAAACAGCACACUAGUCCAGCAGCUCAUCAAAGAGCUUCCAGAGGAGGUGAGAGAGCGAUGGGAAACAUUCUGCACAAGCUCUUUAGGAGAAACCAACAAGAGGAAUACCGUGGAUCUGGUUACCACCUGCCACAUUCACUCUUCCAGUGAUGAUGAAAUAGACUUUAAAGAAACGGGGUUCUCACAGGAUUCUUCUUUGCAGCAGGCCUUUUCUGAUUAUCAGAUGCAACAAAUGACGUCCAAUUUUAUUGACCAGUUUGGCUUCAACGAUGAGAAGUUUGCUGAUCAAGAUGACAUUGGCAAUGUUUCUUUUGAUCGGGUUUCAGACAUCAACUUUACCCUCAAUACAAAUGAAAGUGGCAAUAUAGCCUUGUUUGAGGCAUGCUGUAAGGAGCGGAUACAGCAGUUUGAUGAUGGUGGCUCUGAUGAAGAAGACAUUUGGGAAGAAAAACAUAUUACAUUUGCACCAGAGUCCCAGAGGCGUUCCAGCUCGGGCAGUACAGACAGUGAAGAAAGUACAGAUUCUGAAGAAGAGGAUGGAGCUAAACAAGACUUGUUCGAGUCCCACACCAAUACAGAGGACAAAAUGGAAGUAGACUUAAGUGAACCACCUAACUGGUCAGCAAACUUUGAUGUUCCCAUGGAGACUGCACAUGGUGCCAGUCUGGAUUCUGUUGGCUCUGCUGUGUGGAGUACUGAAGCAACUGUGCCAGCUAAAGAAACCGGCUGGGCUUCCUUUUCUGACUUCACAUCCUCUUUGAGCUCAAAAGACUCCUUAAGAAGUAAUUCUCCUGUGGAAAUGGAAACAAACACAGAUCCAGGUGAUCCCUUGAGUGCAAACGCAACUACUCUUACAACACCUCUGGAGACCCCAGGAAGUGUUGCUAUGGAGGCCAGCUCAGAUGGAGAGGAUGAUGUGGAAAAUGCAGACAAGGUAACCGAGACAGUCAUGAAUGGCAGCAUGAAGGAGACACUGAGCCUAACUGUAGAUGCUAAAACUGAAACCGCCGUUUUCAAAAGAGUGUUGAAAUCCUAUCGUGAGGAAGGAAAAUUGACUACCUCGCAGGAUCCUUCUUGUAAAUAUGUAGUAGAAGAGAAUACAGAGGUUGCAGAAGAGGUCCCUUCAGGUCUUCAGCCUACUAACAGCAGUCCAGAACAGAGUGUUUUUAGAGCUUAGCAGCCAAAGACUUAGCUAGGGGGCUUCUGCUGGUCAUGUGCAUGUAGAGCACGGACCCCAGAGUGGCUUCUCUGUGAUGUCCACCAUCAGAGAACAGGAGUUACAGGACUGAUCAACACACCCAUUUAGGAGAGGCAUCUGUUAAUGGCCCUGUAUGAUAUGUGAUGUCUACUGCCUUGGCUGAAGAGAAAGAACUGAUGUCCAGGUGUUUGAGUGUUUCUUGAGGAUAUCAUCUAGACCCUGUUGAAGCCAGUCACUGCUGCACUAAUUUCGCAAGGAAUCAGGACCAGCAACAUUUAUAUUCUAGAUUUUAAGACAUUGUACAGAAAUUCAUAAGUGUAAAAAUAUUGCACAUUGAGAAAUACCAAUAAUUUUUGCGUAUGUUUAUAUUGUAUUGUUCUAAAUAAUGGGGGGCCUGUGAAAUAAGAUCUUGCUACCCAUGUAAUGAUGACAGUAGUGUUACUAUAGUUAAAAUGGCUGUAAGAAUAGUUUUAUAAAAAAGUGAAUACAAAAAUCUAAUGUAUUUGAGACAUAACUAUUUGACGAUUAGUGUGACCAAAGUAUUUAGCAGUUUUCUUACAUUUUUCACCUUGUAAAAAAGAAAAAGAAAAUUCAUGUUUUUUCUGAAACUGAAAUGCCCUAUAAAUGUUAUUUUGGUUGGUUUAGCUUACAAAAGUGAUUUAAAUAAGAAUUUUUUGGUGUUCAACAUUUUACAACAGGUUUUUUAAUUGGUAAUUGUUUUCUGUAUUGUUCUAAACAGAUCAAAAAAUGUAAGUCUAUUGGUAGAGAUUUUAAGUAUUUAUUGCAACAGCUUAGUUGACAAAUUGAUGUUACUGUAAAGCCAUAUGUUCUGUUAAGUCUAGUUUGCUUGAAACAAUACCUUCCAGGUGAAACACUAGAAUAUUUGGAGUGCACAUGGCUUGUUGUGUUUAAGUGGUUCACCUGCCUUUAAACAGUUCACCAAGAUUUAGUUUAAUACCAAGCAUUAUACAAUGGAACAUUUCAGAACAAUCUGCGUAUUUAAAACGCUAUAAUCCUUUUAGACAAGUCAAGUAAAAGAAAUGCUCAUGCUGCUAAUGUAAUUACAGUACCUGCAUUUUAAAAGUAAAUAGUGUUUUUAAUACAAAUUUUGGCAGCAGAGCAUGUUAAUUGGUAAUUUCACUGUACUGAUCUGUGUGAGGCUUUCAUUUGUAUGUUCUGAACCAGUUUUUUCACAGCUGGUUUGUGUAUAUAUAUAGUGAUUAUGGAAACUAAUUCUGUGUAAUUUAUAAUUUUCUAUGUCAGUGUAAAAUUCCAACAGCCUUCUCAAACAAACAGAAGCAAUAUACUGUAUAUUGCCACAUUGUCUGGUGAAAGGGUUAAAAUACUCCUGCACUUUUAGGCGCAAAACCAUUUUUGUUUCUGUAAUAGUCAUACUCAUUUAUUUUUUACAUCAUUUGUUUUCCUGACCAGUAUUUAAAGCCAAAAGGAUAUUCAAAACAAUGGCCAAUGAUUUAUUUUAGAAGGCGUCCCAAACAACGUGCCUAAACAUUACAUUGCGUACAGAAAUAAAAAACCCACAUGUAUGUCACUGCC